AUUGAACGCUGGCGGCAUGCCUUACACAUGCAAGUCGAACGGUAGGGGGGCAACCCCUGAGAGUGGCGAACGGGUGAGUAAUGCAUCGGAACGUGCCCAGUUGUGGGGGAUAACGUAGCGAAAGCUACGCUAAUACCGCAUACGACCUGAGGGUGAAAGGGGGGGAUCGCAAGACCUCUCGCAAUUGUAGCGGCCGAUGUCAGAUUAGCUAGUUGGUGGGGUAAAAGCCUACCAAGGCGACGAUCUGUAGCUGGUCUGAGAGGACGACCAGCCACACUGGGACUGAGACACGGCCCAGACUCCUACGGGAGGCAGCAGUGGGGAAUUUUGGACAAUGGACGCAAGUCUGAUCCAGCCAUGCCGCGUGCAGGAAGAAGGCCUUUGGGUUGUAAACUGCUUUUGUCAGGGAAGAAAUCCCUUGGGAUAAUACCUCGGGGGGAUGACGGUACCUGAAGAAUAAGCACCGGCUAACUACGUGCCAGCCGCCGCCGUAAGAC
rnacentral:rRNA from 1 species